UACGGAGGGUGCGAGCGUUGUCCGGAAUCAUUGGGCGUAAAGGGCGCGUAGGUGGCCCGGUCAGUUCGUGGUGAAAGCGCGGGGCUCAACCCUGCGUCGGCCAUGAAUACUGCCGCGGCUGGAGCACUGUAGAGGCAGGCGGAAUUCCGGGUGUAGCGGUGGAAUGCGUAGAGAUCCGGAAGAACACCGGUGGCGAAGGCGGCCUGCUGGGCCAGUUGCUGGACACUGAGGCGCGACAGCGUGGGGAGCAAACAGGGAU
rnacentral:rRNA from 1 species